rnacentral:antisense_RNA from 1 species
CUCGGAACUGGACCUUGAUGAAGGAAAUACUCACUUUCUGACUCACUGGAAUUUGUUAUAGUCAAAUUUGCCUAUGUGAUAACUUAGGUCUUCACGAUGGCCCAGAGUAAGACGAGGCAUGAGGACCCUUCUCAUCAUUUAAUUAUUGCUUGACCAAAACUGUGCCUUGUAAGGUGUUUCCAGACCUAAGAAUAACGGGAACAUGGAGGAGUGGCAUCUCCAGUGUAGCCACCCACCAAAGCCUCAUCCCGAACACUAUGGCCUAAUGGGUCACUUACAGGGAUGUAGCUGGCAUUGAUGUAGUCAGAGCAAGGAUCAUCAUCUACAUUGGAGAGCUUCACUCGCGUGGCAUCAUCUGGAAGGAGAGAUUUGCUGCUGAGUCUUGGAGUGACUUUUCUACAGUUUAUGUGAUGUGUGUGAUGUGCCUUAGCUCUGAUCCCCACAACAGCCACAGAUGGGAAGUGAUCUUAUCUCCAUUUUGCAGAUGAGGCUCAGACAGGAUAACUAACUUGCCCCACGUUGCAUAGGUGGCCUAUAACCAGUCAGACACAGGAGACAACAUGAAGCCCCAUCUGUGCUUCCCUUUCCAACAUUACCACAUUUGCCUGAUGGAGUGGCCAGCUCCCUUUCACUGCUGGAAUGAAUACAAUCCAGAAAACCUACCUUCUAUUGCUUUACCUAAUGGGGUAAGGAAAUUUAAGUAGAAAUUGCUAACCAAAGACUUUGCUAAGCAAACCCAGGUCUGCUUGAUGUCAGAGCCCUUGCUGUUAACCCCAUUUACUGCUUA